UCGAAGGAAAGGACUGGUGACUCUUUAGAAUUCGUCUCUCCCAUCUCCGUCAAUCCACUCCACACUCCUCAUGACCUUAUCCACAUACACUGCCGCCUUCGAUUGGCAGCCGGCGAAGGAAGAUGCCGCCGCUAGCUUAUGUGAAACUAAUUCCUGAUCUAUCCCGGCGCUACUUCUUGUCUCUUAUCUUCCAGUUUCCUUCUGUUUUGGUACUGUCCCCAAACCCUAGCUCUGGUGAUCUUAGAUUGGGCAUGCAGCAGCGAUGAACUCAUUUGGGUAGGUCUUAGCCCGUUGGUGGCGAGUUCUCGCCUUCCUCAUGGUUGGUGCUUUCAGACCUCUGCCAGUUGCCAAAUCAGAUGUGAAGCAGAUGUUGAAGAAAUAAUAAGACAGAGAUGUGUCGGCUGGCUGAGGUGAGUUGUGGCCCUCAUUGUUCGUCAUGCCGGGUUUUCACAUGUAUGUGCUACAGCUUCGUAUCAUUCCUACUUCCUCCAUAGCGGGUGAUUCUUCACAUGUAUGUUUUCAGCCUCUAACUGAGCUAAAAAUAUAUAAUGAUUUUUUUAGCAUAUAUUUGCAAGUUAUAUUACAUAUACGUCUGCUCCACCUGUGCUGAGCGUAGAGGGCUAGCCGCGAUUUAUACCUGUAAAUUAAACCUUGUGUCCCGAGGCUGAGCAUCCUCCUCCCUCUGCUCCACCUUGCAACCUCCUAGACGCCGGCUUGUGUACGUCUGCGAGGGAGCAUCCCUGUAACUUGUGAACACCCUUCUACCUAUCAAUGAAAUGAUACGCUGCUAAGCGUAUUCACCAAAAAAAAUAUUACAUAUACGUGUAUCUAAUACAAAGCAAGAUCCAUGUGUUAAUUGACAUAGGAUAAUAUUGAAGCCUUUCUAAUAUUUCUCUUGAUCUGAAAAGUCUGUUGGAUUGAAGAGUUGUCAUGAAGAGCAGAAAACUCAUAUUUCAAUCAAAUAAAUACAACAUGUCAUGAUUCUUGUAGUGCUAAAUUCAAUACUUUUGUUAUCUAAUAACUCACAUCAUUAUAUCGGUAGAUGUCAAGUGUUCUUCUCCAUCUCAGUAGUAGUCUGCCUUAGUUUCACUAUAAGCUACUAAUCAACUAAUUUUGUGUUUUUUCUGUCUACUGUAUCUUCUAACUGCCCACUUGUCUUGUACUCCCUCCAUAAAGAAAUAUAAGACUAGUGAUCUAAACGCUCUUAUAUUUCUUUACAAAGGGAAUAGCAUUUUACAUCAACAAUUCCGGUCUUGUGGCCAUCUACCUCUUUGGUUAUUUUUUGUGCUCUCCUAACGGCUGCAGUAACACUACAUCUUAUUUUGCCACAACGGGCAACUGAGUCUUUAUCUUCAAGCAUUGUAGGUUUUUUUACUUUUGCUUCAACAUGUUUCUUGUUCCCAACGUACAUAUUUCUCCUUUCAUUCUUGCACACUUAUGUCGGUGCAUUCAUCAUUUGAGCCAUCCGAUAAUACAAUAGAUCUCCAUCAGUUUCUUUUGCCAUUGUAGAGUCCAUGUGAUGCUGACAUUUUUUCUUCACACCCAUCAACUCAUUUACUAUAGUCCCAUAGUAUCAUGUGGUUCUUCUCCCAUGGGCAACCAAUUGACAUAUCCUUUUCUGAGGUGAAUCUCAAUUGUUAUUUUUCUACAAAAUAAAAAUACAUUUCAAAGAUUAUACAUGUCUCUAAAAAUUGAUAAGUAUGUACUCUGAGAAAAUCAACCACCUUUUUCGCAUCCAUGUUAUGGUUCUUCGUUGCUUUUUGUAACACAUCAUCCAAAAUUCUACGCAUCAUAUGUGAGAUAUACUUAUUAGUUAGGAAACUACAAACACAGUACGUGAAAUUUAUUCCGGUAGAAUUUUCUUUGAAAUCUUCACCAUUACUGCUUGGAAUAUUUGGAAGGAGAGAAAUAACUUCAUCUUCAAUCAGAUCAGUCCUUCAUAUAGAGCUUGGCUUGAGAGAACUAAGGCUGAUCUUACCUGGCUUAGAUACAGAGUGUCCCCUGAUCUCAGUGAUUAUAUCACUUCUUUUGUAAAUUCACUUUAGACUCUGCUUGUUUGUUUUCCUUUGGUGGGACUUUCCUCCUAGCCAUGUAAAUACUUAUUAUAUAUUAUUAUAGCAUAUUAGGUGCCUCUCCUACUAUUUCUCAGUCAAAAAAAAGAACACAGUAGGCAUUUUGUAAUGAAUUAAAUGCAAAUUAACCUCCUCAACAAUGCUUAGUCAAAGAAAUAUAUGUUAUGAAUCUCACAUAUGAGUAUAUCUAGAUCUGUAUAAUGAUACCCCAAACUUUAACCAAGAUAUACCGAAGUUUUUGGUAUAUCUAAAUCUAUAUAUAUUCUUGUGGCACUUGACAUUAAGCACAACUAUGUUUAAUCAAAGAAAAAUCUGUUGCACAUAUUUUGGUAAAUAAUAGAAGAGCUUGUAACAUUAAUGAACUUAUCAUUGAACUUCUGCAUCAUUGCUGAGGUCACAGUAAGGACAGUUCGGUUGCCAUUUAGAUCCUCAUUGAAGCUAUAAGUAAAAUUUUCUCAUAAACUAACAAUAAUUUUAUCACCCCUAAAGAGUAUAAUCUAGAAAAAUUGAUGCCAUGUCAAUGAAGUUAGUCCAAUUAAAAUUUGAGGAAUGGUUACGUAUUAUGAACUUAGUCUGAUAUUACAAUUGCAAUUUGGCUGAAGUAUGAAUUUUCAGAGUUCUUUCUUUUUUAUUAAUGAUUCCACAUGCUUCGUUUGGGUGAGUAAUCCAAUGAUGUCUUUAAAAGCGGAGUUAAUUAUUUUGAAGUUAAAAAUAUUAAUAUCUUGAAAGUCUUAUUUACAACUAUAGACUAUAGAGAUAUGUGAGCAUUCUUUUAUAUUUCUCUGCAUGUUCUUCUAAUGUUUCUUUUGUAGCAAACUCGAAGUAGUAAGCUGGGUAACCUUCAGAUGAUCCUUUCGCCUCUACUUUUGUAAUGUACGCAGACAUAAUUAUAUUUCACUGCUUACUCGGUUAUACUUUGUGGAUUCCAGAACCUUAAAAUUUCUAAAUGUAUAAAUAGAUUCUCAUUUAUCUUUGAUCUAUAUGUGUCUAUAAACUUCUUCCUGAUAGUGGCAUGAAUUGUUUGGCCAUGUGAAAACAAUCGAAAUGUACUUAGUAGUUCUAUAAAACAAUAGAACAAUAUGCAAGUAAAUAUAUAAUGAGUAAACCUUUUCAUCCAUGAAUUUCAUAUCGGCAAAAUAUACUUAAUUGUAUAGAACAAUAGAACAAUCUUCAAAUAUAUAUGUAAUGACUAAACUUUUUCAUGCAUGAAUAUCAUAUUGGGGAUCCAAAGCCAUUUGGUUGUAGAAUUGAUUAAUCUCAUAUUCUCAUUACUUGCGCUUCAAUACACAGUCUUGUCUUCUUGUUGUGAACUCUCCAAGCUUGUUGUAUGACAUUGCUGUAAAAGGAUCAUACAAUCUCUAGUGAAUUAAUAAUGCACGUAUGAAGAUUGUGUCCAGAAUACAAACCUUGAUGAUUCUGUUGAGAGGCCACUCAAAAGGUUGCUUGGGCACGACUACAUCUGGCAGCCCGUAGAUCGGGUCAAGAAUAACAAUUACAAACCUAUGAUUCAGGUGAGAGGCCACUCAAAAGGAUUGGAUCCAGAAUAGCAAUUACGGACCUUGAUGAUUCAGGUGAGAGGCCACUCAGAAGGUUGCUUGGGCACGACUACGUCCGGCGUUGUGACGUUGCCUAGUUGAAUCAGAAGACUUUGAAUUUAUUGGUAGUAUGCUAGCCUGGUAGCAUAUUUGGCUGACCUAAUUCUUUGGGCAUGUGUUGGGUGCGGUCGGAUGUAUGCCUUUUUAUCUGUCGUGGUUGCCUUGGCAAGUCCUUUUUUUCCAUCAUGCCUUGGAAAGUCCUUGUGGAGUCCUCUAUGUAGUCCAUAUACAUGUCUUAUUUGCAUGCGUGUAUCCGUAUACAUUGUGUCCACGUAUGGAAUUGGCUGCACGUAA